rnacentral:rRNA from 1 species
GACGAACCGUGCGAACGUUAUUCGGAAUCACUGGGCUUAAAGCGCGUGUAGGCGGGCCGGCACGUCCGACGCUGAAAUCCCCCGGCUCAACCGGGGAACGGGCUCGGAUACGACCGGCCUCGAGGGACGUAGGGGGACCUGGAACUUCCGGUGGAGCGGUGAAAUGCGUUGAGAUCGGAAGGAACGCCCGUGGCGAAAGCGGCAUCCUGGACCGGUAUUGACGCUGAGGAGCGAAAGCCAGGGGAGCAAAGCGGG